AGAUUCUUCGGAUGAUCGAUCGGUGACUGAGUGGCGGACGGGUGAGUAACGCGUGGGUAACCUGCCCUGUACAGGGGGAUAACAGCUGGAAACGGCUGCUAAUACCGCAUAAGCGCACGAGGAGACAUCUCCUAGUGUGAAAAACUCCGGUGGUACAGGAUGGGCCCGCGUCUGAUUAGCUGGUUGGCAGGGUAACGGCCUACCAAGGCAACGAUCAGUAGCCGGUCUGAGAGGAUGAACGGCCACAUUGGAACUGAGACACGGUCCAAACUCCUACGGGAGGCAGCAGUGGGGAAUAUUGCACAAUGGGGGAAACCCUGAUGCAGCAACGCCGCGUGAGUGAAGAAGUAUUUCGGUAUGUAAAGCUCUAUCAGCAGGGAAGAUAAUGACGGUACCUGACUAAGAAGCUCCGGCUAAAUACGUGCCAGCAGCCGCGGUAAUACGUAUGGAGCAAGCGUUAUCCGGAUUUACUGGGUGUAAAGGGUGCGUAGGUGGCAGUGCAAGUCAGAUGUGAAAGGCCGGGGCUCAACCCCGGAGCUGCAUUUGAAACUGCUCGGCUAGAGUACAGGAGAGGCAGGCGGAAUUCCUAGUGUAGCGGUGAAAUGCGUAGAUAUUAGGAGAAUCACCAGUGGCGAAGGCGGCCUGCUGGACUGUUACUG
rnacentral:rRNA from 1 species